UAUUAUGUUCUCAAUAUUUAACUUCCAAAUUCGUCGAGUUCCGAGUAAGACAAAUGCAACACAAUUAAGAACUCAACGAAACUUGCUCAAAUAGUGACAAAUUAUUCAUUUAAUUUAGCCACCUAGACUCAAACUUUAAAUUCAUCUCCACAUUUCACACAAAUUAUAGUAGUUUAGCAAAACUCUCAAAAGAAAACAAAAAUAGCUAUCAAUCAAUCAAUCGUGGAGAUGAAUCAGAUGAACCAAAACAAUUCCAUACAAAUCUCAUCCAAACUAAUACGAGCUUUAUAUUAUUCAACCAAAGUGCAAUACCUGAUUACAGCAGCACAAAGACAAACAGAGAAUAAGCCUCUCCAAAAAUGAAUCUGAGCUCAGCUGAUAUGCAGCUCCAGAAUCGGAUGGAGACGUGACCAAGACCAACGGAGCUUCGACUCCGGAGCUUGCCGGAAGUCGAUGAAACACAGGCAGACCUCGACUCUUCAGCCUUGAAACUCGCCGGAAGGUAAAAAGAGAUGCGUGACUCUGUGUGUGUGUGUGCAGUAUGUUAGGCGUGAGGCUGCUGGGAACUCGAUGGCUAUGGUGUUAGGGGGUCGUUUGGCUGUGCGGCGUGAAGGUCCGGGAUGGGGUGGUCUGUGUAUGUCCAACAGCUGCUUGGUGUUUGGGGUCUAUUGAGGCUGAUGCUUAUGUGAAUUUCGUUCAAGAGCUCAUGGGGUCGUUUAUGGCUGUGGAAGAAACAAAAAUGAUAAAGGGGGGGAAAGGGUCGAAGAAGAAGAGAUAUCAGGGGGUGGGGUCUUCUUGUGUUAUCAGGAGUCCUUUUCUUUGUCCAAUCUCGGCUUUUUAGCUGAUUCUUGGGGAUUUUGGUUUUGUUCCUUUUCUUAUGGAAAACGACCCCUUCCAAAUAUGUGUGUCUCGGUCUUUAUUUUUUGUAUAGAAACGGCUGAUUGUGUGUGUAGAGUCUAGGGUGUUAGCGUUAUUUUAUAGUUUAGGUCUAGGUUUAUUAUUUGGAUUUAAGAGUAUUGAGGUUCAAGGAAUAAGCGAGAAAUUUGGGCUUUUAUGAUUAGUUUUGCUUAAAAUUAGCUUAAUUAAAAUCUAUCCAUAUAGAAAUAUUACCAAAAAUACUAGUUAGCC
rnacentral:lncRNA from 1 species